UAUAUUAAAGGGGGGAGGGGGGGGGGGAAAGCAUUCUAAGGAUACCUAGACUGCGACUGCUGCUGCCUUACAUAAAGAAGAAUUUUGUCCUUCUGUGAAGAGUAAAUACACACAAAGACAUCAAGGAUUGAAGAAGAUUAAAAAAACAUUGCAUGAAUCUUAACAUAUAAAUAUGUGAGCCUGGAUGUCGGUGAGAAAAGCUCUAGAUACGGAAAUGAAAGCCUCAAACCACAUGCUGAAAAACCACUGUUGAAAAACAGUGAAGAUCAAUAGGAAAGUAAAACCACUCUGAAAGAAAGAAAAAAGGACCAGAGCAGGGGAGGUUAAAACAGCAGCAGCAGAACUACUGAGCAAAUGAACUUUCGGUUGAAAGAUCCACAGCAGAAGGAUAUAUUCAGUCUUCCAUUGUUACUUUGUGUCCUUAGUUUCCACGUGAUUUCUUUCAAGGUGUCCUUUGAAGUUCCACAGCCAAUUUUUCAUUGUCCACAGACAUACAAUAGAAGAC